GCCAAAAACCUAGCCCGACUCAACAAGAAUUACACAAAACCAAUUUUCUUCAUUUAACAAACCAUUUUAACAUUCUAGUAAAGGUGAUUGAAAAACUUAUAGGAGCUACAACAAUAGUACCGCAAGGGAAUGAUGAAAUAUUAUUAAAAACUCUAAGCAAGAAAAAGUAAAGACUACAGCUUGUACCUUUCGCAUCAUGGUUUAACUAGUUUAAUCAAGCAAAACGAUUUUAAGUUUGACUCCCCGAAACUAAGUGAGCUACUUCAGGGCAGCCAAAAGAGCAAACCCGUCUCUGUAGCAAAAGAGUGGGAUGACCCUCAAGUAGCGGUGACAGACCUAACGAACUUAGUGAUAGCUGGUUACUCAAGAAACGGAUCUAAGUCCAACCUGAAACCAACUUUAGUCUACCAACACAAAUAUUAGAUUUCAGCGUAAUUCAAAUAAGGUACAGCCUAUUUGAAACAGGAUACAACCUAAACCAAUGGAUAAGAUUAGCCUUAUAAACAACCAAGUGGGCCUAAAAGCAGCCAUCUUUAGAAUUGCGUCAAAGCUUAAUUAUUAUCACGCCUAAUCACUAAAAUUUCAUCUUAAUCCCAUACCAAUACUGAGUAAUUCUAUAACACUAUAGAAAAUUUUAUGUUAAAACUAGUAACAAGAAGAAGAACCUUCUCUUAAAUGUAAGUGUAAAUCAAAAAGGACAAACCGCUGAUAAUUAACACCCAUGAACAUAAAGUAGUAACUAACCAAGAAAAACCUACUCUCACCAACGUUAAUCUAACACAAGAACAUUAUAAGAAAGAUUAAAAAAAUAAGAAGGAACUCGGCAAAUCUUAACCUCGCCUGUUUACCAAAAACAUCGCCUCUUGACAAACCACUAAAAUAAGAGGUCCAGCCUGCCCAGUGACUCUGUUCAACGGCCGCGGUAUCCUAACCGUGCGAAGGUAGCGUAAUCACUUGUUCUUUAAAUAAGGACUAGUAUGAAUGGCACCACGAAGGUUAUACUGUCUCCUUUUUUUGAUCAGUGAAACUAAUCUUCCCGUGAAGAAGCGGGAAUAAACAUAUAAGACGAGAAGACCCUAUGGAGCUUUAAACAACAUAGCACUUACCACAGAUACAAAAAUUUCUGAAUCACAAAACCCACCAGGUAAGAUGUAUAUAAGUUUUUGGUUGGGGUGACCACGGAGCAUAAUAUAACCUCCAUGUUGAAAGAAUCCUAUUCUUAACAAAGAACUACUUUUCUAAGCAUCAACAUUUUGACAUACAUUGACCCAAUUACUUUGAGCAACGAACCAAGUUACCCUAGGGAUAACAGCGCAAUCCACUUUAAGAGCCCCUAUCGCCAAGUGGGUUUACGACCUCGAUGUUGGAUCAGGGUUUCCAAGUGGUGCAGCCGCUACUA
rnacentral:rRNA from 1 species